rnacentral:lncRNA from 1 species
UUCUUGACUACUUUCAUUUGGCUCAUACAAAGUGACAAAUAAUUGCUUAAACAAAACAAAAUCUGAUUGUUGUUGUUGUGCAGACGAAGUUUACAGAACCGUGAGAACGGUAGAUAGAUGCGGCAGUAAUUAUCUAUGUUUAUCGGAUAUAUAAAUUUUAAAAAGGGAGUAAAUAAAAACAAAUAUAAUUCCUAUUAUAUAUUUAUUUUUUGUUCCAUGAUUUAUGGUUAGAAAAUGUACUAAAUCGGCGAAUUGAAACUGAAAGUGCGCGACCCAGAAACGAAAAAGUAGUCCGUAGAAUUAUGAAUAUUAAUUAGAUCUAAUGAAUACGUGACGGCUUCAUUGAGAAAUGAAAGUUGGUCACGUGUGCUGAAGCAGCCAAUCAGAAACGCACAAAUCUAUGAAUUGAGUAAUAGUUGUAAUUAUAAUUAGAUGGAACAUCUUUUUAAAUUUUAGCCAUUAAUAAACUAGUAGGGCAGAAAGGACCGGGAUAAACAUACCUAUAUAUUCAUAAACUCAAGACAUUUAGAAGUAUAUGACCGUCAUCAAAAUGAACUCCUGUCUACAUAUCCAGAGGAAUGUGUUGCACAAAUGGCUGCAUGACAUUUUUGAAGACUGCCCAGCUUUAGACAAGCGCUUAACAGUCAGUAUAGAUACAUAUAUUGACUGGGUAUGAAAGGCUUAUCAACCUAAUGGAACUGAAAGAACUAUUUCUUAACAAUGUAGUUACAAAAAUGAUUUAAGUCUUUCAUUCUAUUCUUUUCUUCUUUGAAAACAAAAUCAUAAAAAGUAUUAAAUGCAUUGGCUAGCCUGCUGUAGUUGGUAACAAAUGAUAUGAAAUAAAAAAGGACAAACUGAUUAGCAUAUAAAACA